GACGAACGCUGGCGGCGUGCUUAACACAUGCAAGUCGAACGGAAAGGCCCUGCUUUUGUGGGGUGCUCGAGUGGCGAACGGGUGAGUAACACGUGAGUAACCUGCCCUUGACUUUGGGAUAACUUCAGGAAACUGGGGCUAAUACCGGAUAGGAGCUCCUGCUGCAUGGUGGGGGUUGGAAAGUUUCGGCGGUUGGGGAUGGACUCGCGGCUUAUCAGCUUGUUGGUGGGGUAGUGGCUUACCAAGGCUUUGACGGGUAGCCGGCCUGAGAGGGUGACCGGCCACAUUGGGACUGAGAUACGGCCCAGACUCCUACGGGAGGCAGCAGUGGGGAAUAUUGCACAAUGGGCGGAAGCCUGAUGCAGCAACGCCGCGUGCGGGAUGACGGCCUUCGGGUCGUAAACCGCUUUCGCCUGUGACGAAGCGUGAGUGACGGUAAUGGGUAAAGAAGCACCGGCUAACUACGUGCCAGCAGCCGCGGUGAUACGUAGGGUGCGAGCGUUGUCCGGAUUUAUUGGGCGUAAAGGGCUCGUAGGUGGUUGAUCGCGUCGGAAGUGUAAUCUUGGGGCUUAACCCUGAGCGUGCUUUCGAUACGGGUUGACUUGAGGAAGGUAGGGGAGAAUGGAAUUCCUGGUGGAGCGGUGGAAUGCGCAGAUAUCAGGAGGAACACCAGUGGCGAAGGCGGUUCUCUGGGCCUUUCCUGACGCUGAGGAGCGAAAGCGUGGGGAGCGAACAGGCUUAGAUACCUUGGUAGUCCACGCUGUAAACGGUGGGUACUAGGUGUGGGGUCCAUUCCACGGGUUCCGUGCCGUAGCUAACGCUUUAAGUACCCCGCCUGGGGAGUACGGCCGCAAGGCUAAAACUCAAAGGAAUUGACGGGGCCCCGCACAAGCGGCGGAGCAUGCGGAUUAAUUCGAUGCAACGCGUAGAACCUUACCUGGGUUUGACAUGGAUCGGGAGUGCUCAGAGAUGGGUGUGCCUCUUUUGGGGUCGGUUCACAGGUGGUGCAUGGCUGUCGUCAGCUCGUGUCGUGAGAUGUUGGGUUAAGUCCCGCAACGAGCGCAACCCUUGUUCACUGUUGCCAGCACGUUAUGGUGGGGACUCAGUGGAGACCGCCGGGGUCAACUCGGAGGAAGGUGGGGAUGACGUCAAGUCAUCAUGCCCCUUAUGUCCAGGGCUUCACGCAUGCUACAAUGGCUGGUACAGAGAGUGGCGAGCCUGUGAGGGUGAGCGAAUCUCGGAAAGCCGGUCUCAGUUCGGAUUGGGGUCUGCAACUCGACCUCAUGAAGUCGGAGUCGCUAGUAAUCGCAGAUCAGCAACGCUGCGGUGAAUACGUUCCCGGGGCU
rnacentral:rRNA from 1 species